AGGUCGUUAGCUCAGUCGCUUUUUAUAAAGCUAGGGCAGUUGGCUUUUAACCAAUCGGUUGAUAGGUUUUAAUCCUUCACGACCCACCA
rnacentral:tRNA from 1 species